rnacentral:rRNA from 1 species
GCGCACGGGUGCGUAACACGUAUGCAACCUACCUUUAACAGGUACAUAACAGCGCGAAAGCGGUGCUAAUAUACCAUGUGGUUAUUGAAUGGCAUCAUUUAAUAAUUAAAGAUUUAUCGGUUAAAGAUGGGCAUGCGUCCCAUUAGCUAGUUGGUGAGGUAAAGGCUCACCAAGGCAAUGAUGGGUAGGGGUUCUGAGAGGAUAUACCCCCACACUGGUACUGAGACACGGACCAGACUCCUACGGGAGGCAGCAGUAAGGAAUAUUGGUCAAUGGGCGAGAGCCUGAACCAGCCAUGCCGCGUGCAGGAAGACGGCCCUAUGGGUUGUAAACUGCUUUUGUCAGGGGAUAAACCUACCGACGAGUCGGUAGCUGAAGGUACCUGAAGAAUAAGGAUCGGCUAACUCCGUGCCAGCAGCCGCGGUAAUACGGAGGAUCCGAGCGUUAUCCGGAUUUAUUGGGUUUAAAGGGUGCGCAGGCGGAUUGGUAAGUCAGGGGUGAAAUUCUACGGCUCAACUGUAGGCGUGCCUUUGAUACUGCCAAACUAGAGUUAAGUUGGAGUGGGCGGAAUGUGUUGUGUAGCGGUGAAAUGCUUAGAUAUAACACAGAACACCGAUCGCGAAGGCAGCUCACUAAACUUAGACUGACGCUCAUGCACGAAAGCGUGGGAUCAAACAGGAUUAGAUACCCUGGUAGUCCACGCUGUAAACGAUGAUCACUCGCUGUUGGCGAUAUACAGUCAGUGGCUAAGCGAAAGUGAUAAGUGAUCCACCUGGGGAGUACGACCGCAAGGUUGAAACUCAAAGGAAUUGACGGGGGCCCGCACAAGCGGAGGAGCAUGUGGUUUAAUUCGAUGAUACGCGA